UGCAAAUGAUGCUAGUUAUUUGCUAUCUAAAUACAUUUGAUGACAACCACCAAGAUCGCUGAUGCA
ensembl:snoRNA SNORD24 Small nucleolar RNA SNORD24